rnacentral:rRNA from 1 species
GAGUUUGAUCCUGGCUCAGAUUGAACGCUGGCGGCAGGCCUAACACAUGCAAGUCGAACGGUAACAGGAAGAAGCUUGCUUCUUUGCUGACGAGUGGCGGACGGGUGAGUAAUGUCUGGGAAACUGCCUGAUGGAGGGGGAUAACUACUGGAAACGGUAGCUAAUACCGCAUAACGUCGCAAGACCAAAGAGGGGGACCUUCGGGCCUCUUGCCAUCGGAUGUGCCCAGAUGGGAUUAGCUAGUAGGUGGGGUAACGGCUCACCUAGGCGACGAUCCCUAGCUGGUCUGAGAGGAUGACCAGCCACACUGGAACUGAGACACGGUCCAGACUCCUACGGGAGGCAGCAGUGGGGAAUAUUGCACAAUGGGCGCAAGCCUGAUGCAGCCAUGCCGCGUGUAUGAAGAAGGCC